GGAGUUAGCCGGUGCUUCUUCUGUGAGUGAUGUCCUUCCUGCCGGCUAUUAACCCGCAGGCCUUCUUCCUCACUGAAAGUGCUUUACAACCCGAAGGCCUUCUUCACACACGCGGCAUGGCUGGAUCAGGGUUGCCCCCAUUGUCCAAUAUUCCCCACUGCUGCCUCCCGUAGGAGUCUGGGCCGUGUCUCAGUCCCAGUGUGGCUGAUCAUCCUCUCAGACCAGCUACGGAUCGUCGCCUUGGUGAGCCGUUACCUCACCAACCAGCUAAUCCGACAUAGGCUCAUCCGAUAGCGCGAGGCCCGAAGGUCCCCCGCUUUCCCCCGUAGGGCGUAUGCGGUAUUAGCCUGGGUUUCCCCAGGUUAUCCCCCACUACCGGGCAGAUUCCUAUGCAUUACUCACCCGUCCGCCGCUCGCCUACCAGGGAGCAAGCUCCCCGUGCUGCCGCUCGACUUGCAUGUGUUAGGCCUGCCGCCAGCGUUCAAUCUGAGCCAUAAUCAAACUCUGA
rnacentral:rRNA from 1 species